CUCAUUUCAAGAGUAGGGAAAAUGAUACUUAGACAACCUACGCUGCAGCUUAUUGUGAUGAACAUGCUCCAUAGACCUUAAAGCACUGUAGAAAUGAGCCUCUGACAAUUGUGCUGUGGGCCUAUUAUGCAGCACUUGGAAUACUUCAACUUUAUGAGCAUCAGAGAUCAGUUUUGCAUAAAAUUACAGUUUAUGCAAAGAAGAAAACUGGGAGGUUGACAAGUUCUGGAAUUUGGGGUUUGCAAAAAGGAGACGAAGAUGGAACAAGUCUUGUUGCUUAUAGAAAUGUUUAGGUUUUUUUCCACUUCAUUGAAUGUCAUCUGUAAGGGAAUUAAAGGAUUAUAUCUACUAUGGCAUCAAGUCUUCAUCAAACAAGAAAAGAUGAAUACACCAGAAUGUCUGUGGGGUCCUAAUUGGAGAAAAGCCAUGAAAUACAGCAAUAAGUAAAAGCCAUGAAAACUUAAACUCUGUGAAAGGUGGAAGCCCAAUCACGGUGACCUGUUAAAAAAUCAAAACUUAGAUACUAUGAACUAUGAAAGUCAUAACAAGAGUAUCAUGACCUAUAUGUGACCAAUACAUGAUCAACACACAAACUUAUGUUUGGGCAUAACAUUGGCUUAACAAGCAAGCUCAUUACUAAACAGAAAACCAAAACUAUCCACCCAUCAGUAGUAAUACGCUCUCUAGCUUCUCCUCCCUUUAUCUGUUUUCUGUAAUUACCACGGGGAUUUUGGUUUGGGUUUUUGUUGUUGUUGUUGUUGUUGUUUUUGCGGGGAUCCACCACUGGUGUGGCCACCACCCUAGACCUCGGAUUACCUGAAUUCUUAACAGGAAUCCAUCAUACUGGCCCUCAGUGUAAGUAACCUAAAUGAUUAAACUACUA